ACUAAAGCACGCAACUAUCGAUAACGUGCGUGCAGCCACAGAAUGUGGCGCGCGCUUUUUGAAUGUCACAAACGUACCCAGCGUCUAAUAGAUGGAUGCGACAUCCGUGCAUAAACACCCGGAUAAUAUGGAUCUGUAAAUGAGCAAAGUUAUGUAACCAAAUAUAAUAGAUAAGAAUGGAUAAGUUAACUCCUACCUGCACAUCCAACGCCCCAGGAAACAAUGCCAAUCAGCUUUCCCUGGGCGACAAGUGGACCACCGCUGUCACCUGUGAAUAAUUUUCAGUAAACGGAUCGUAAAUUUAAAUGAUUGAAGUGCGCAUAUAAAUCAUGUUUCAAAAAAACCAGA